rnacentral:lncRNA from 1 species
UCUCUCUAUCUCUGUUCUCGAACCUCUGCGGCGAAUUCCUUCUCUCUAUAACUGAAGAGUAUGAACGCGCCAUAAGCGUCGUCGUCUUCGUCGUCAUCGUCAUCAUCAACGGGAUUCCUCCCAUCGCCCCUCCUCUCCCACCGCAUGGCCUUCCACAACCACCUCUCCCACCAGGACCUCUCCUCCCUCCACCACUUCGCCGCCGACCAGCAGCCGCCGCCGCCGCAGCACCAGCAGCAGCAGCAGCACCUGCCGGACUCCUCCUCCUCCGUCCACCACCAGCUCCACCACGCCGCCGGCCCCAACUGGCUCAACACCGCCCUCCUCCGCUCCGAC